ensembl:lncRNA
AUAUGACACUGUACGCUAGUAAUAAAGUGAAGUAUACUCUUAAGUAAUAAAAUGAAGUUUACUCAAUAGUCGCAAAGUGAAGUAUUGCUUUAUAUGCAUUGAGAUGGGGGAUGUUACUAACAGUGAACAAAGGACUCUUGAUCACAUUAAUGAUUUUUUUUUUACGUUUUUUAUUAAUAAUUCUGUUUUCAUAAUUUUUUUCUAUCUCAAAAUGUGAAUGACAAGCAUUACCCAAAUAUACAAAGUGAAAACCAGAGUUCAAUCCAAAGCUGGAACAUGAGUGUUGAUUGAUCGGUUGUGUCACAUUUCCGAUAAGGUAAUAGAAUGGAUAUGGCGAUGUAAUUGUAUCAUUAUCAGUGUAUUCAAGGUGAUCAAUGAUUGACCAAUAAGAAUGCUGUACGUGUCUAUGGGCCUGAUGGUUUCAACCAAUCAGGGAGGAGGGCUGCAACCCGUCUAGAGCAACGAUUAGUCUGCCUUUCUAUACCGUACAGCUUCCACUUUUUAUACCAAAUUACUAAUCAAUAGACUUAUCAAUAAGAUCAACUCAUUUCACUAGGUGUCAUAAUGAUUAGCCUUUACAUUAGUCAUUUGUUUCACAAUGUCUAGUUUUUGUCACUUCACAAGUGCGAAUGUUCACCUAGAUGCACGAUGGAGAGAUCAACUCCAGCUCAUCACAGCUGAUAUACACUUCCACUUGUGAUGUCACAAAGGGAUAUAUUUAGAUCCGUCCUGUAAUGACUCAUCACCAUGACACCUCAGAGAAAGGUUACCUCUUACAGUAGAUGCUGUUUAAUAGGAACAGACUUUGUCUAAAUGCUUGCAUAUUUGGAAUUGUAAAACUGAUUGGCUUUCACUGGCUUUAAAUAUUUAAUUUAUUUCCACCUGAUGGAAACCGAGUUCUAGAACCUUCCAGGGGGGCUGUUUUUCAACGGGAGAAAAAGCGAACCAUGUGAAAUUGAAAAUGAUUGUGUACACAGGCAAACGCACACUAGUGUGUGUCAAGAGACCACUCAGAUCCCUACUGGUUUAGGAUCAAGGACAAUAACAAUGUAGAUGAUGAUGAUGAUGAGGAUGAUGAAGGAGACGAUCGUCUGGGAUGAACCUGAACCGGAAAAAGGACAAAAAAGAUUUGUGAAUCGUUCCUUGAUUUUAUUGGAGUUUUUUUAUGUACUGU